rnacentral:tRNA from 2 species
GCUGCCUUAGCUCCAAUUGGUAGAGCGCCGCUUUCGUAAUGCGGAUGUUAGCGGUUCGAGUCCGCUAGGCAGCU